UUCCUGGUAGUCUAGUGGUUAGGACUCAGCACUGGCAUUGCUGUGGCCUGGGUUCAAUCCCUGGUCAUGGAA
rnacentral:tRNA from 1 species